rnacentral:tRNA from 1 species
UGGGAUGUGGCUCAGUGGUAGAGUGCUUGCCUGGCACACAUGAAGCCCUGGGUUCCGUCCUCAGCACCAUAU